UACGUAGGGGGCAAGCGUUGUCCGGAUUUAUUGGGCGUAAAGAGCGUGUAGGCGGUUUGGUAGGUCCGCUGUGAAAACUCGAGGCUCAACCUCGAGACGCCGGUGGAAACCAUCAGACUAGAGUCCGGAAGAGGAGAGUGGAAUUCCGUGGUGUAGCGGUGAAAUGCGCAGAUAUCAGGAAGAACACCCGUGGCUAAGGCGGCUCUCUGGAACGCAACUGACGCUGAGACGCGAAAGCGUGGGGAGCAAACAGG
rnacentral:rRNA from 1 species